GAAGAGCCAGAUUCUGCUGGGCCUGUA
rnacentral:sRNA from 1 species